UACGUAGGGGGCGAGCGUUAUCCGGAUUUACUGGGUGUAAAGGGAGCGUAGACGGCCAUGCGAGCCUGAUGUGAAAGGCGUGGGCACAACCCGCGGACUGCAUCGGGGACUGUGUGGCUGGAGUGUUGGAGGGGCAGGCGGAAUUCCUGGUGUAGCGGUGAAAUGCGUAGAUAUCAGGAGGAACACCGGUGGCGAAGGCGGCCUGCUGGACAACGACUGACGUUGAGGCUCGAGAGCGUGGGGAGCGAACAGG
rnacentral:rRNA from 1 species